rnacentral:rRNA from 1 species
UACAGAGGGUGCGAGCGUUAAUCGGAAUUACUGGGCGUAAAGCGCGCGUAGGCGGCUUUGCAAGUCAGGUGUGAAAUCCCCGGGCUUAACCUGGGAACUGCAUUUGAGACUGCAUUGCUAGAGUAUGGGAGAGGGAAGUGGAAUUUCAGGUGUAGCGGUGAAAUGCGUAGAUAUCUGAAGGAACAUCAGUGGCGAAAGCGACUUCCUGGACCAAUACUGACGCUCAUGUGCGAAAGCGUGGGGAGCAAACAGGG